rnacentral:lncRNA from 12 species
UUAUUUAGAAUUUUUUCUAUGCAGUGUUGCCCUAAACAUUGUCUUCCUGUAGGAGACAUCCAUUGAAGGUGCUGUUGAGCAGAUAUUACUGUGAUGUGGAAGCUGCGUUUGAAAACUUUCCCUGCUGCCCUCCAUACACCUGGACUCAGAGACCAGCAGGCCUUUUUCCUAUGUGAUGUCAUGAAUGAGAAGAGAAAAUGUUCUGGAGGAGCUAGUGCACAGAAAAAUCAGAGGGUACGCAUCAUGACAGCUUGAAGGUCCACACCCUCGUGAUCUAAGGCUCUUUUGGAGGUUGUGUUUUUGAAAGCAUCGUGUGCUACAGCUCCUGUGCUCAGCCAGGCAUGUGACUAAAUAUUAUUUGGGAUUGGAAAGGGGCUCCACUUUUUUGUCUUUCUUUCUUUGCCUGGAUACUGUGAAUGAGAGUAGCUUUUAUGAAGGCUUGGUUACGUUGUGUCAUUUCAAC